UACGUAGGGGGGCAAGCGUUGUCCGGAUUUAUUGGGCGUAAAGAGCGUGUAGGCGGUUUGGUAGGUCCGUUGUGAAAACUCGAGGCUCAACCUCGAGACGUCGGUUGAAACCACCUGGCUAGAGUCCGGAAGAGGAGAGUGGAAUUCCUGGUGUAGCGGUGAAAUGCGCAGAUAUCAGGAAGAACACCCGUGGCGAAGGCGGCUCUCUGGGACGGUACUGACGCUGAGACGCGAAAGCGUGGGGAGCGAACAGG
rnacentral:rRNA from 1 species